rnacentral:rRNA from 1 species
UACGUAGGUGGCAAGCGUUAUCCGGAAUUAUUGGGCGUAAAGAGCGCGCAGGUGGUUGAUUAAGUCUGAUGUGAAAGCCCACGGCUUAACCGUGGAGGGUCAUUGGAAACUGGUCAACUUGAGUGCAGAAGAGGGAAGUGGAAUUCCAUGUGUAGCGGUGAAAUGCGUAGAUAUAUGGAGGAACACCAGUGGCGAAGGCGGCUUCCUGGUCUGUAACUGACACUGAGGCGCGAAAGCGUGGGGAGCAAACAGG